AUUUAACGCUGGCGGCAGGCCUAACACAUGCAAGUCGAACGAGUGGCGGACGGGUGAGUAAUGUCUGGGAAACUGCCCGAUGGAGGGGGAUAACUACUGGAAACGGUAGCUAAUACCGCAUACCAUCGGAUGUGCCCAGAUGGGAUUAGCUAGUAGGUUGGGUAACGGCGCACCUAGGCGACGCUCCCUAGCUGGUCUGAGAGGAUGACCAGCCACACUGGAACUGAGACAAGGACCAGAAUCCUACGAGAGGCAGCAGUGGUGAAAAUUGCACAAUGGGCGCAAGCCGGAUGCAGCCAUGCCGCGUGUAUGAAGAAGGCCUUAGGGUUGUAAAGUACGUGCAGCGGGGAGGAGUUACCAGAAGAAGAAGAACCGGCUAACUCCGUGCCAGCAGACGCGGUAAUAG
rnacentral:rRNA from 1 species